rnacentral:tRNA from 1 species
UAUGAAAAAGUGUUUUGGUGCACGUUGAUUUUUGGUUUCAAAGGGUAUGGUCUAAUUCCAUUUUUCGUAG